rnacentral:rRNA from 1 species
AGUGAACGCUGGCGGCAGGCCUAAUACAUGCAAGUCGAACGGCAGCACAGUGGAGCUUGCUCCAUGGGUGGCGAGUGGCGGACGGGUGAGGAAUACAUGGGAAUCUGCCCAGUCGUGGGGGAUAACGUAUGGAAACGUACGCUAAUACCGCAUGCGCCCUUCGGGGGAAAGUCGGGGACCGCAAGGCCUGACGCGAUUGGAUGAGCCCAUGUUCGAUUAGCUAGUUGGCGGGGUAACGGCCCACCAAGGCGACGAUCGAUAGCUGGUCUGAGAGGAUGAUCAGCCACACUGGAACUGAGACACGGUCCAGACUCCUACGGGAGGCAGCAGUAGGGGAAUAUUGGACAAUGGGGGCGAACCCUCGAUCCAGCCAUGCCGCGUGAGUGAAGAAGGUCCUCUGGAUUGUAAACCUCUUUUGGCAGGAAACAAACCUGCGCUAUACGCGCAGCUGAGGGUACCUGCAGAAUAAGCACCGGCUAACUCCG